rnacentral:rRNA from 1 species
UCGAUUAAGCCAUGCGAGUUAAAUGUUCUUCGUGAACAUAGCAGACUGCUCAGUAACACGUGGAUAACCUGCCCUUAGGACUGGCAUAACCCCGGGAAACUGGGGAUAAUUCCGGAUAGAUCAUAAAUGCUGGAAUGCUUUAUGAUUGAAAGGUUUCGACCGCCUUAGGAUGGAUCUGCGGCCUAUCAGGUUGUAGUGGGUGUAAUGUCCCUACUAGCCUACGACGGGUACGGGUUGUGGAAGCAAGAGCCCGGAGAUGGAUUCUGAGACAUGAAUCCAGGCCCUACGGGGCGCAGCAGGCGCGAAAACUUUACAAUGCGGGAAACCGUGAUAAGGGAACACUGAGUGCUAGCAUUUAUGUUAGCUGUCCACAUGUGUAAAUAGCAUGUGAUAGCAAGGGCUGGGCAAGACCGGUGCCAGCCGCCGCGGUAACACCAGCAGCCCGAGUGGUGAUCACUAUUAUUGGGUCUAAAGGGUCCGUAGCCGGUUUAAUCAGUCUUCUGGGAAAUCUAAUCGCUUAACUAUUAGGCUUCCAGGGGAUACUGUUAGACUUGGGACCGGGAGAGGUAAGAGGUACUGCAGGGGUAGGAGUGAAAUCUUGUAAUCCCUGUGAGACCACCAGUGGCGAAGGCGUCUUACCAGAACGGGUCCGACGGUGAGGGACGAAAGCUGGGGGCACGAACCGGAUUAGAUACCCGGGUAGUCCCAGCUGUAAACGAUGCUCGCUAGGUGUCAGGAACGGUGCGACUGUUUCUGGUGCCGAAGGGAAGCCGUGAAACGAGCCACCUGGGAAGUACGGCCGCAAGGCUGAAACU